rnacentral:lncRNA from 1 species
UUUAGUACUGCUCCAAACAUAUGAUCCGGUCACCAAGAAGGAACUUUUCUAGUAUUUGACAUCUAGUAUUUGUAAGCCGAAUUUGCAAAUCAGGAACUACUCUUUUGGCAUCUAGUUUAGCACUGCUCCGAUCACUCCCCACAUGUCCUCUACACCUUGGAAAAUGCCAAACAAGUUAAAAUGACAUGGAUGAUGUUCAUUUAUUGAUGAAUUCAAAAAAACGUGCACCAUUACAGCCAAAUAGUACAAAAUUUGUGAAGUACCAUGCAGAGUUACAGGAAGUUUAGUAAGAAUCAAGAGCAUGAGCUAAUUCGUUCUUUUCCUUUUUAAUCUGGAAGAUAUCCUAAUUAACCAUACAUUGCUCGAAGCUUCUGGCAGCAUGUUGCUUGCAGUUUUAUAUGAAAUGUCAAGUUGUAGCAAGUAUGUACACAUUAAUAAAAUCACCCUUAGAUGGAACCCACUCUUUGGUAAUUUCAUUGGCGAACAUAGAUAGAACCAAGCACAAUUUAGAAGAUGCUCAUGAACUUUACUUCAAAAGCACAUAAUAGCAAUGCAAACAGUGUACCUCUCCAAAGUUGCUUCACCUCCUUGACCAUCCAUCUGAGACCAGAGAACCUGUAAGUUUUAAAACGGAGCCGCAGAGGAGAUUUAAAAUGGAGCAUGUGUAUGUAUGUAGAAAAGACACAAGAAACACUGAAGAUUAUCUAAUUAGUCUGACAGGUUCAGUUACUCACAACUCUGGAAAACAUAUAUAUGCUUCUCUAGUACAAACUAAUUAGUCGAGUAGCCAGCACGAAACAGAGCAGAGCAGAGCAGCUCCUCCUCUGUUUUGUCUGGACCUACAGUAACUGAAUUCAGUCAAUGAAACUACUUUGUUUUGGCCUACUGAACACUCUCAAUACCGUCCUCAUGGUCUCAAAUAAGCAGAAACUCCAUCUACAAUUGUUUACAAGAUCCAACAGCAGAACCUACAUUUUCUGAUGCCCAUCUACAACUGUGCCCAUCUACAACUGUUUACAAAAGGAUGGGGUGGGGAGCAAAACACUUCCAUAGCAUAGAUACUCCAUUGUUACGUGGUACUUACAUGUUUAUUCCUGGCAUCUUCUGAUGCCCAUCCCUUCUUAUCACUAGAGCAACACUCCUUGUAUAGUCUGAUAUAGCCACAAUUCUGAUAAUACAAGAUUCAAAGUC